AUGGCCAUAUCAUGUUGAAAACUGGUUCUCAUAUGAUCACCAAAGUUAAGCAAUGUCAAGCCUGGUCAGUACCAAGAUUGGUGACCACUUAGGAAUACCAGAUGCUGUAA